rnacentral:snoRNA from 1 species
UCGUCUCUGAUGAUGAUUAAAAAUGAUUAACUUUCGUUCUUCUGAUGCGCUUUUCUCAUGGCGCGCUGCGGAAGCAAUCUGGAGACCUGAACUGAGGAGACAA